rnacentral:lncRNA from 1 species
AAAAAGGGCUUCAAAUUAUACAGUUUUGGGUGUACUGCUUCAAUAUACAGGUUGUCUAAAAUAAAUAAAAAAAUAUAGCGCUUUUUAAAAAAAAAAAUUUAAAUAACCACCCACUUUAGAGGGCGCUUCCCAAAAUAAGCGCCCUCUAAACCCUUUAAGUUUCCACUUUAGAGGGCGCUUUCCAGUAAAAACGCCCUCUAAACCCUUAAAAGUUUCCACUUUAGAGGGCGCUUUCC